UCUCCGUAGGUGAACCUGCGGAAGGAUCAUUAACAAUAAGUGUAACACGGCACUUUUUUUAAACCUUAUUCACUUUGUGUGCAACGUCAGGGCUGGCCUCUCUUGCUCACCGCCAAUCACCAACUAUCAUCUCAAACCUUUGUCUGCAACAUAUUAUUAUUAAAACACUUUAAAAAAUAUCUUCAAACAAUCGAUUUCUUGGCUCUCCCAUCGAUGAAGCACGCAGCAGAACGGAAGAACACACGUCCGACCGUCAGUCACGCAUAGUCAGUACGUAUG
rnacentral:misc_RNA from 1 species